GCGAACGCUGGCGGCAGGCUUAACACAUGCCAGUCGAGCGGACCUUUCGGGGUCAGCGGCGGACGGGUGAGUAACGCGUGGGAACGUGCCUUCCGGUUCGGAAUAACCCUGGGAAACUAGGGCUAAUACCGGAUACGCCCUUAUGGGGAAAGGUUUACUGCCGGAAGAUCGGCCCGCGUCUGAUUAGCUAGUUGGUGGGGUGACGGCCUACCAAGGCGACGAUCAGUAGCUGGUCUGAGAGGAUGAUCAGCCACACUGGGACUGAGACACGGCCCAGACUCCUACGGGAGGCAGCAGUGGGGAAUAUUGGACAAUGGGCGCAAGCCUGAUCCAGCCAUGCCGCGUGAGUGAUGAAGGCCUUAGGGUUGUAAAGCUCUUUUAUCCGGGACGAUAAUGACGGUACCGGAGGAAUAAGCCCCGGCUAACUUCGUG
rnacentral:rRNA from 1 species